ACGGAGGGUGCAAGCGUUAUCCGGAUUCACUGGGUUUAAAGGGUGCGUAGGUGGGUUGGUAAGUCAGUGGUGAAAUCCCCGAGCUUAACUCGGGAACUGCCAUUGAUACUAUCAGUCUUGAAUACCGUGGAGGUCAGCAGAAUAUGUCAUGUAGCGGUGAAAUGCUUAGAUAUGACAUAGAAUACCAAUUGCGAAGGCAGCUGGCUACCCGAAUAUUGACACUGAGGCACGAAAGCGUGGGGAUCAAACAGGAUUAGAUACCCUGGUAGUCCACGCCCUAAACUAUGGAUACUCGACAUACGCGAUACACUGUGUGUGUCUGAGCGAAAGCAUUAAGUAUCCCACCUGGGAAGUACGACCACAAGGUUG
rnacentral:rRNA from 1 species